GCCAGGCGUUGUGGCGGGCGCCUGUGGUCCCAGCUACUUGGGAGGCGGAGGCAGGAGACUCGCUUGAGCCCAGGAGUUGGAGGUUGCUGUGAGCUGUAAUGCCAUGGCACUCUACCCAGGGGGACAGCUUGAGGCUCUGUCUCAAAAACCAACAAACAAACAAACAAACAAAAAAAAAGAUAGAGUUUCCUAUGUCGCCCUCGGUAGAGUGCAGUGACAUCACAGCUCACCAGCAAUCUCCAACUCCGGGGCUUAGGUGAUUCUCCUUCC
rnacentral:sRNA from 1 species